rnacentral:rRNA from 1 species
AGUGAACGCUGGCGGUAGGCCUAACACAUGCCAGUCGAACGGCAGCACAGUAAGAGCUUGCUCUUACGGGUGGCGAGUGGCGGACGGGUGAGGAAUACAUCGGAAUCUACUUUUUCGUGGGGGAUCACGUAGGGAAACUUACGCUAAUACCGCAUACGACCUACGGGUGAAAGCAGGGGAUCUUCGGACCUUGCGCGAUCGAAUGAGCCGAUGUCGGAUUAGCUAGUUGGCGGGGUAAAGGCCCACCAAGGCGACGAUCCGUAGCUGGUCUGAGAGGAUGAUCAGCCACACUGGAACUGAGACACGGUCCAGACUCCGACGGGAGGCAGCAGUGGGGAAUAUUGGACAAUGGGCGCAAGCCUGAUCCAGCCAUACCGCGUGGGUGAAGAAGGCCUUCGGGUUGUAAAGCCCUUUUGUUGGGAAAGAAAAGCAGCAGGUUGAUACCCCGCUGUUCUGACGGUACCCAAAGAAUAAGCACCGGCUAACUUCGU